rnacentral:lncRNA from 1 species
GGGUUUCUUUGUUAUACAGUGGCAGCUUGGUUCACAAACUCAAUUCUCCACAAUUCUGGUAGCAAACCAAAGUGGACAAGAACCAAAUCAAAUUUCGCCACAAGGUCAACAUUGAACCUAAGCACUGAAUUUGAUUCAGUUCUUGUCCAACUCAGUUGGAAAGAAUCAAUUUCAUGAACUGAGGCACCACUGUUUGUCUCAGUGCCCUGCAGUGCCUUCUGGUCUGAAGCUGGCUGUGACAGUGUGUCAGAGAGGACCAGACAAUGCUGGGGAGGUUGACCCAGCUUCUUCACCAUUGCCAUUGCUAUCUGCCAGCCCGGAGGUUCCUCUGACAAGGGACCAUCUGAAGCAUUUUGCAUACUUCAAGUCAUGUGAUUCUCACAGCAAUCUUAGGCUUCAGCAUAUGAAUGGAGAGACAAACCUUGAGUCUAUAACAAAUGUGGAAAAUGUUCACACUGAGCUCUGUGGAGACUUCUGGCCAGUUGAAGUUUGGCCCCUCCUCUCAGCUGCUCUGGACAUCUACCCCUUUUUGCUAAAUGCAGCUCUUGAUACCACCAGAUACUGUUGGCAAAAGGCCCUGCUCCCUCUGAGGGGCCCGAGGAGCCCAGGCCAAGCCAGAUGGUUGCAUUUAACGAGGAAAUGCUGUCAGCAGAAAGGAGAGGAAGCCUCAUGCUGACCCCCUCAGGAUCCACAGCCUGAGAGGCAAGAACAUUCUCACUCAGUCCUUGAAAGAUGACUCUGUCCACUCACGUGGACCCGAGUAGGAAGUGCAAAGAGGAUUAUUCUCAUUGCAUACUUUAUGCAGCUGAUGUCCUGCAGAAAGUUCUGGAAAGAGAAAACAAACUGUCUCCGCACAAUAAAAAUGACUGAUGUGAUAAGUAACACUGACAGCUUGCUAAACCAAAUAUAUCCCUCUCAUCUGGCCCCACACCUGUCUUCUUAUCAGAUCCCAUAACAACCUAUGAGUUUGUGUUUUGUUUGUUUCUUUGAUCUACCCUCCUUUCACAGAUAAGGAAAUUGAGGCCAAACAAGUGAAGGGUUUCCCCAAGUGGCACCAUAAUAUGACAGUGCUGUGACCCAAAAGAGGCUUGUCUAAAAAUCAAGGUUGCUCUUUAUUUCAUCUCACAGCCCCUCCAAGCAUGUCAGUGCUGCUACAUGCCAUUCAGUCACAACGCACUUCCACUAAGGAUACCAAAGGACCUUGUCAGUUGGGAACCAACACCUGCCUGUGCACUGGGAACCGAUGCUAUGAAAGCAAGCCCAUUUCCAAACUUGGGGUUAAUGAUAAAGCUGAAACAACGUAAUACUCCCUCUCCCGCUCCUCCUUUAUCAAUAUGUGCCUUGAGUUUGAAUGCCAAGUCAAACCUCUCCAGAACCACAUCCUUGGUGGUGACUUAUUAAAGAGUAAAUCAAAGUUUGCUCAAAGAGAAAAGUAAACAUUCCCAACUGUCCAUGUGCUGCUGGGCCCUGAGCUCACUUCCCGGUCCCUCUGUUGACUUGGGCUGUAAUCCCAGAUAAGCGCCUGCAGACUUACCGCCCUGGGCCCAAAGUGCAAAACUGGCCAAAGCCCUGAACAGUACCCACUCCCUCCCAGGACUAGAUUUGGCACAGUGCUGGUUCCCAUGGAGUUUGCAUGCCUCAGCAGGGAAAACUGGACAAAAGGAUGUG